rnacentral:rRNA from 1 species
GUAAGGGUGCUUAACACGUGGGUAAUCUGCCGCGAAGUGUGGGAUAACUCGCUGAAAGGCGAGCUAAUACCGCAUGUGAUUUUCCUGGGGCAUCUCAGGGAUCUCAAACAUGGGUCGCAAGGCCUGUGGUUUCGCGAUGAGCCCGCGGCCUAUCAGCUAGUUGGCGGGGUAAAAGCCCACCAAGGCUAAGACGGGUAGCCGGCCUGAGAGGGCGACCGGCCACACUGGGACUGAGACACGGCCCAGACUCC